rnacentral:rRNA from 1 species
UGAGGAAUCUUGCGCAAUGGGCGAAAGCCUGACGCAGCGACGCCGCGUGGGGGAUGAAGGUCUUCGGAUUGUAAACUCCUGUUAAGUGGGAAGAAAUACGCAGUUAUAAUACAGCUGCGGGAUGACUGUACCAUUAGAGAAAGCACCGGCUAAACUCGUGCCAGCAGCCGCGGUAAUACGAGUGGUGCAAGCGUUAUUCGGAAUGAUUGGGCGUAAAGGGUGCGUAGACGGCAUAUUAAGUCAACUGUUAAAUUCCCCGGCCUAACUGGGGGCCAGCAGUAGAUACUGAUGUGCUUGAGGGUGGAAGAGAGAAGUAGAAUUCUCGGAGUAGCGGUAAAAUGCGUAGAUCUCGAGAGGAAUACCGAUGGCGAAGGCAGCUUCUUGGUCCACAUCUGACGUUGAGGCACGAAAGCGUGGGGAGCAAACAGGAUUAGAUACCCGCGUAGUCC